rnacentral:rRNA from 1 species
GCCGGGGUUUCUUCUACGGCUACCGUCAUUAUCUUCACCGUUGAAAGAGCUUUACGACCCUAAGGCCUUCAUCACUCACGCGGCAUGGCUAGAUCAGGCUUGCGCCCAUUGUCUAAGAUUCCCC